rnacentral:rRNA from 1 species
AACCCUUGACAUGGAAAGUAUGGAUUGCGGAGACACUUUCCUUCAGUUCGGCUGGAUAUCACAC